AUUGAACGCUGGCGGAAUGCUUUACACAUGCAAGUCGAACGGUAGAGGGGGCAACCCCUCGAGAGUGGCGAACGGGUGAGUAAUAUAUCGGAACGUGCCCAGUCGUGGGGGAUAACGUAGCGAAAGUUACGCUAAUACCGCAUACGAUCUAAGGAUGAAAGCGGGGGAUCGCAAGACAUCGCGCGAUUGGAGCGGCCGAUAUCAGAUUAGGUAGUUGGUGGGGGAAAGGCUGACCAAGCCAACGAUCUGUAGCUGGUCUGAGAGGACGACCAGCCACACUGGAACUGAGACACGGUCCAGACUCCUACGGGAGGCAGCAGUGGGGAAUUUUGGACAAUGGACGCAAGUCUGAUCCAGCCAUUCCGCGUGCAGGAUGAAGGCCCUCGGGUUGUAAACUGCUUUUGUACGGAACGAAAAGGUCUCUCUUAAUACGGGGGACUCAUGACGGUACCGUAAGAAUAAGCACCGGCUAACUACGUGCCAGCAGCCGCCGUAA
rnacentral:rRNA from 1 species